GGAGGGAGCGAGCGUUGUUCGGAAUCACUGGGCGUAAAGGGCGCGUAGGCGGCCGAGUAAGUCGUGUGUGAAAGACCGGGGCUCAACUCCGUGUACUGCAUGCGAUACUGCCCGGCUAGAGUAAGGUAGAGGCGAGUGGAAUUCCCGGUGUAGCGGUGGAAUGCGUAGAUAUCGGGAAGAACACCUGUGGCGAAGGCGGCUCGCUGGGCCUUUUCUGACGCUGAAGUGCGAAAGCGUGGGGAGCAAACAGGAUUAGAUACCCUGGUAGUCCACGCCGUAAACGAUGGGCACUAGGCGUUGGGAGGAUUGACCCUCUCAGUGCCGUAGCUAACGCGUUAAGUGCCCCCGCCUGGGGAGUACGGCCGCAAGGCUG
rnacentral:rRNA from 1 species